rnacentral:rRNA from 1 species
AUUGAACGCUGGCGGCAGGCCUAACACAUGCAAGUCGAACGGUAACAGGAAGCAGCUUGCUGCUUUGCUGACGAGUGGCGGACGGGUGAGUAAUGUCUGGGAAACUGCCCGAUGGAGGGGGAUAACUACUGGAAACGGUAGCUAAUACCGCAUAACGUCGCAAGACCAAAGAGGGGGACCUUAGGGCCUCUUGCCAUCGGAUGUGCCCAGAUGGGAUUAGCUAGUAGGUGGGGUAACGGCUCACCUAGGCGACGAUCCCUAGCUGGUCUGAGAGGAUGACCAGCCACACUGGAACUGAGACACGGUCCAGACUCCUACGGGAGGCAGCAGUGGGGAAUAUUGCACAAGGGGCGCAAGCCUGAUGCAGCCAUGCCGCGUGUAUGAAGAAGGCCUUCGGGUUGUAAAGUACUUUCAGCGGGGAGGAAGGGAGUAAAGUUAAGACCUUUGCUCAUUGACGUUACCCGCAGAAGAAGCACCGGCUAACUCCGU